CCGGGACCAUCCGGUAAGGCUAAAUACUCCCGAGAGACCGAUAGCGAACCAGUACCGUGAGGGAAAGGUGAAAAGCACUUCGAACAGAAGAGUGAAAUAGUUCCUGAAACCGUGCGCCUACAAGCGGUCGGAGCUCGUUAAUGAGUGACGGCGUGCCUUUUGCAUAAUGAACCUACGAGUUGCCUUUGCCGGCAAGGUUAAGUGUGACGACACACGUAUCCGAAGCGAAAGCGAGUCUGAACAGGGCGUAUAGUCGGCAGUGGCAGACGCGAAACCAAGUGAUCUACCCUUGGCCAGGUUGAAGGCUGGGUAACACCAGCUGGAGGACCGCACCAAUAAGCGUUGAAAAGCUUCUGGAUGAGCUGAGGGUAGGGGUGAAAGGCUAAUCAAACUUGGAGAUAGCUCGUACUCCCCGAAAUGCAUUUAGGUGCAGCCUUGCGGGUUACUGAUGUGAGGUAGAGCGACUGAUAAGAUGCGAGGGCUUCACCGCCUAUCAAGUCUUGACAAACUCCGAAUGCGCAUCAGUUCUACCGCAGGAGUGAGGGCAUGGGUGCUAAGGUCCGUGCCCGAGAGGAGAAGAAUCCGGACCACCUGCUAAGGUCCCGAAAUGACAGCUAAGUUAAACUAACGAAGUCUGACUGCUAAGACAGCUAGGAUGUUGGCUUGGAAGCAGCCAUUCAUUUAAAGAGUGCGUAACAGCUCACUAGUCGAGGAGUCGGGCGUGGAUAAUAAUCGGGUAUUAAGUUGUCUACCGAAGCAGUGGGAUCAUUAAUAUGAUCGGUAGGGGAGCAUUCCAGUCAGCGUCGAAGGCGUACCGUGAGGUAUUCUGGAGCGUCUGGAAAAGCAAAUGUAGGUAUAAGUAACGAUAAAGGGGGCGGGAAACCCCCUCGCCGAAAGACUAAGGUUUCCUGAUCAACGCUAAUCGGAUCAGGGUCAGUCGGGUCCUAAGGCUCAGCCGAACGGCGAUGCCGAUGGCAGAAACGGUUAAUAUUCCGUUACUACCUUCAGGAGUGACGUGGAGACGCAGUAGUGACAGUGCCGCCAUCUGACGGAAUAGAUGGUUGAAGGGUGUAGGAGUCGAUCAUGGCAGGCAAAUCCACCAUGAGAUCCGAACCUGAUAGUAUGCCGCGUCCUUCGGGACAAGGCAAUAGUGCGCGUAAGCAUGCUGCCGAGAAAAUCCGCUAAACUUAAUCCUGCAGGUACCCGUACCGCAAACGGACACACGUAGUCGGGAUGAAUAUUCUAAGGCGCUUGAGUGAUUCACGGUUAAGGAACUAGGCAAACUGACCCUGUAACUUCGGGAUAAAGGGUCCCUACCCUUUUAUGGGAGGGCGCAGAGAAUCGGUCCAGGCAACUGUUUAACAAAAACACAGGGCUGUGCCAAAUCGAAAGAUCCAGUAUACAGCCUGACACCUGCCCGGUGCUGGAAGGUUAAGAGGAGAUGUCAUCGAUAAGAGAAGCGUUGAAUUGAAGCCCCAGUAAACGGCGGCCGUAACUAUAACGGUCCUAAGGUAGCGAAAUUCCUUGUCGGGUAAGUUCCGACCUGCACGAAUGGUGUAAUGAUCUGGACGCUGUCUCAACCGUGAGCUCAGUGAAAUUGUAGUAUCGGUGAAGAUGCCGAUUACCCGCGAUGGGACGAAAAGACCCCGUGAACCUUUACUAUAGCUUAUCAUUGAAUCUGGGCACGUGAUGUGUAGGAUAGGUCGGAGGCUUUGAAGCAGGUACGCCAGUAUUUGUGGAGCCGCUGUUGAAAUACGACCCUUUAUUUGUUUGGAUUCUAACCCGUGGAUACGGGGACAUUGAUUGGUGGGUAGUUUGACUGGGGUGGUCGCCUCCAAAAGCGUAACGGAGGCUUCUAAAGGUGCCCUCCGGCCGAUUGGUAACCGGCCUUAGAGUGUAAUGGCAUAAGGGCGCUUGACUGGGAGACUAACAAGUCGAUCAGGUAGGAAACUAGAGCAUAGUGAUCCGGUGUUUCC
rnacentral:rRNA from 1 species